rnacentral:lncRNA from 1 species
ACGGAUCCAAACCAUCCAUGCGUGCGGGAACUCAUCCGGACCGUACGAUCACGGGCACAUGAAUUGCCAGCGUGGCCUCCCGCGUGGCACUGAGUCAAUGUGCCUUGCCACGCAACGAGCUCCAGUUCGUCGGGGCUGCUGACUAGGCGAUCCUACAUGGUAUAUUUUUUCUUAAUUAUGUUUUGACCCCCAGUUUUCGAUUUCUUUU